rnacentral:lncRNA from 10 species
UAUCAGGCACGCAGUUGGGGAGGAGGGCGUGGCUUCCAGCGUUUGGCGCGGCCUUUGUCUCUGGCUCAGGCCGGAGCCUGAGAUCCAUCUCUACUGUCCCGCGUGUUGCCCCUCGGGAGCACUAGGUGACUUUGUCACAUCCUCUGUUGCCCUGAGAUCUGGAGGUACUGGGAAAUGCAUAGCUAAGAUGCCAGGACAUCCUGGAAACCAGGAAAUGUUUGUCUGCAUCUUGUUAUUGGGCCACAAGAACACACAGCCAGACCCAGUUUGGUCCAGGAACAACAUCUGGCAAGCUAGCCAAGAGUCACUGAAAUGGUGCUGCACUCAGUGGCCCGUGAUUGUGGCGAGAUGGUCAUUUGGAGACUCCCAGAAGCUGCUGGAUAAGAUUGUCCUGGGGACUCUCCCAGGGGCUAUUCCAUGUGCAAAAACCACAUGUCCCUCUCACCACUGGGGAAGAAUGGUGAUCAGGCAGGAGUGGAUGCACUCAAAGGGAAAAGUCUUUCUCUAGGACCUGGAAAUGAUUGCUCGGAAAUGUAAACAGCAAAAAAGUUAGAGCCCUAUCGCACAGCUUGCUCCAAGUUUCAAAAUUACCUUCUGUCCCUCCUGGACUUGGGACCAUUAUUUUUCCUUCAGAUAUGCCAGUCAGCAACCACAGAUGGCCUCCCCAAUUACCAGACUCACUCAGACAUUGCUGCCUUCUCCAGCCUCUUUAAACUUUAAAGGCCAGCAGAGAAUGCUAUGUUUCAGGAUGGUGAUUGGUGGUUUUCACUUUGGACCAUAAGCAUCCGUAUUGUGGUAAGAGUGUUGGGUUGAGUGACUCAGUGCUGUGCCUGCUUUCUCCACCUGAGUGCUACUGAUGAUGGGUCUGGGGGAGCAGCAUGAGCAUUAACAGGGGACUUACUAAAAAUAGGAAGAAUAGGAAGAUACAGACAAAUAUUUCUUAUUUGUCUCACGUGUAUGAGGAAUCUAAAAGGUUGAACUCCUAGACGCAGGGAGUACAAAGGUGGAUACCAGAGCCAAGAGGUAGGGAAAAUGGAAGAUGUUGUUUAAAGGGUACAAACUUUUAGUUAUAAAUAAGGUUCGUGAAUCUAAUAUAUAGCAUCAUGAUUAUAGUAGAUAAUAAUGUUUUUGUAUACUUGAUACAAUAAAGGAAACUAUGUAAGAUGAUACAUGUAUUCAUUAACUUCAUUGAAUUAAUUAUUUCACAACUGGCAGGGCACAGUG